CACGUAGGCGGCCCAGCAAGUCGGGUGUGAAAGCCCUCGGCUCAACCGAGGAAGUGCAUUCGAAACUACUGGGCUUGAAUACUGGAGAGGAUCGCGGAAUUCCCGGUGUAGAGGUGAAAUUCGUAGAUAUCGGGAGGAACACCAGUGGCGAAGGCGGCGAUCUGGACAGAUAUUGACGCUGAGGUGCGAAAGCGUGGGGAGCAAACA
rnacentral:rRNA from 1 species